AGCCUGGCUAAUUUUGCAUUUUUAGUAAAGAUGGGGUUUCUCCAUGUUGGUUAGGCUGGUCUCGAACUCCCGACCUCAGGCAGGAAGGAGUCUCCAUGUGACAGAUGAGGAACAGGAGGCCCUGAAGCAAUGGGGGAGCGGUAAGGAUGACAUCCUGCCCUGCCCUGCCUCCCCCACCUCCCCUGUCCGCUCCCCACCACCAUAAGGCAAAAGACACUGACAGUCA
rnacentral:lncRNA from 10 species